rnacentral:rRNA from 1 species
AUGAACGCUGGCGGCGUGCCUAACACAUGCAAGUCGAACGGAGUCGUUUUGGAAAUCUCUUCGGAGAUGGAAUUCUCGACUUAGUGGCGGACGGGUGAGUAACGCGUGAGCAAUCUGCCUUUAAGAGGGGGAUAACAGUCGGAAACGGCUGCUAAUACCGCAUAAAGCAUUAAAUUCGCAUGUUUUUGAUGCCAAAGGAGCAAUCCGCUUUUAGAUGAGCUCGCGUCUGAUUAGCUAGUUGGCGGGGUAACGGCCCACCAAGGCGACGAUCAGUAGCCGGACUGAGAGGUUGAACGGCCACAUUGGGACUAAGACACGGCCCAGACUCCUACGGGAGGCAGCAGUGGGGAAUAUUGCGCAAUGGGGGAAACCCUGACGCAGCAACGCCGCGUGAUUGAAGAAGGCCUUCGGGUUGUAAAGAUCUUUAAUCAGGGACGAAACAAAUGACGGUACCUGAAGAAUAAGCUCCGGCUAACUACGUG